rnacentral:rRNA from 2 species
ACCUGCGGAAAGGAUCAUUA